UAAGGUUUGUUUUUGUGCUUUUAUUGUGAAAGGACAGAGGAUAGAGUCAGAAAGGGGAGAGAGGGGAAUGACGUGCAGGAAAGGAGCCUCAGGCCGGAUUUGAACCCGGGCCGCCCACUUGGAGGACCACAGCCUCCGUACAUGAGGGGCGUGCAAACUAACCACUAGCCCACCGGCGCCCCAAACGAGAGCACUUCAGAGUCCACUACAGAGAAUAUGUGAACAUCAGACUGAACUUCCUGAAGCUGCAGACAGAAGAGGAAGAAUCAGGGAGUCUGCUGGAAAACAUGAGAAAGAACUGAAGUUAGUUUUGAAUGUUUCCGUCAGUCUUCUUCACGUUGAACACAAACCCAGUAUCAGAUGUGAAACCAGCUUCAGUGUCCUCGUUCUGAGGAUCCAAGUGAAAACACGUCUCAGGACCAUUCAGGGACUGAAGUCAGAAGAAAGCAGCCACGUUUCUUUUCCACAGGGGAAAGAAAUGCGGUUCUAAUAUCUGUGAGUUAUUGUCCCACAUGCUGAAGUAGCUGCUGCGUUUAGUGAGAGACCAAGGAAACAAACAUGAAGGAGGAAACUUCAAACAUGUAGAAACUGUUUGAUUAUUGAUGUUUGUUUUCAGUUCUUCACUCUAAACUGACGGGAGACUAAAAAGUGGGACCAAACUUGAAGUGUGAAUCAGUUCAAUGAUGGUUCCUGGUCAUCAUUUGAUCCCUUACAGACACAUCUGGACUUUAAAGUGCAGUUUGUAUGAACGAUGUAAACAUGUUGUUCAUCACGUCACAGAGAGAGUCCUGGAUGAUCAACAUGUUGGUGUGAACGUCGUCUUUACACGCUCUUUCUUCACUGCAGCAGAGUGUUGCUGGAUCACAAACUGAACUCAAUUUAAACCAGAUUUCAGUUUGAACUGAGAGAGAAACUUUACAUGAAAACAUCAGAGACAUGUUGACAUGUUUCAAUGUGAAACCAGGAGGUCCAAAAAGUCUUCAGCUCCACAUUUACUCACAUUUACUUUAAGAAGCAGUGUGUGUGUUUCACUGUUUGUCCACUAGAGGGCGCUGUCAGCUUGAUCUGCACCUUGUUUAAAGGUCAUCUCGCUGCAUACAGUCACAGUGUUUAACUGAUCACAUCUCAAGUUUCAUUUCAAACUGUUUUUAGUGUUUAUUUAAAGAUUGUUGAUCCUUUAAUGAGCUAAAGUUCCAGUUUCAGUCGUCUCUGAGAACAUGAGAGGUUUAAAAACUCUCCGUAAAUGAUCCUUAAAGUAUAAAAACAGCUCUUUAAAAAACGCUGAGACGAGUUAAACUCCUUUAUUCAAAAGUCCUGCAGGUCAAAGUGUCAGGUGAAUAAACUUCAAGUAGUUUAAAGCAUCAUGAAACUCUAAACUGUGACGCAGUAAACAGUGGUGAGAUGAAGUCCAGAUGUGAUGUGUGUAAAGAUCCAGAUGUUGACGAGCAGGAGGUGAAGAUGGUCCUUUGGGUGCUCAGAGUGUGCUCACAUGUAAACAGUGUGAAGUGGAUUCAAAGUUUGUCGGUGCUGAUGAGCAGCUCGUCUCAGAAACAGGACGAAGCUCCAACAUCAGCCUCCUCACUGCUGAGAGCCAAAAACCAAAAGGAGGCUGAGAGCUGAGCAGGAGGAGGCUGAGCAUCAGAGCAGAGCUGACGUCACACCACACACACACACACACACACACACACACACACACACACACACAGACACACAGAGACACACACACACACACACAGACACACAGAGACACACACACACAGAGACACACACACACACACAGAGACAGACACAGACAGACACACACACACACACAGAGACACACACACACACACAGAGACACACACACACAGACACACACACACACACACAGACACACACACACACACAGAGACACACACACACACACACAGAGACACACACACACACACAGAGACACACACACAGAGACACACACACACACACACUCACACACACACAGAGAGACACACAGACACACACACACACACACACACACACAGACACACACACACCUGCUGAUGUUCUCUGUGUGUCCAAUGUGACGUCCAGUCUGAUCUGAGUGUGAUAUGAAACUACACUCUGAGUGAUACACAAACUUUUUGUUUCUGUUUCAGGUUCUAUUGCUGGAUGGAUUGUAGCUGCUGCUGGAGUGCCUAGUGCUCUUUUGGUUGUUGUUGUCAUCGUCCAAGCUGUGCUCUUUGCCACAGGUCGCAUCAGUUGUCGUAAAGACGAGGAGAAAGGUGAACCCAUAAAAGACCGCACUGAAUCCGACCUUCUAGCUGAAUGAAGUCAGGUAGACUCACGUCUAUGAUUUCAUCUGUUUGACCAUCAUGAUGUCAUACUUGAAAACAGCUGAGUGAGGGAUCAAAUCCAAGCAGGUGUUUGUUAUCACAUUUGAAUGAACGCCGUGGAGAUCGGGCUUUUUACAAUCAGAGCCCGUCGACUUUGGAACGACCUGAGGAGCAUGUUCAUGACACAUCCUUACACCUCUAACGUUUACUCUGCUUUAAAUACACUGCAGCUUUAAUGCAUGAUCAUUUCAUUAAUAUCAUCUCUGAAUGUAAUCCAGGGUUUAAAACGUAAAGGUCUCCCUGUGAACAUCCCAGAGAGCCUCUGACUGAGGAUUUAAAGAAACACUUUAAAAAACAGGAUUCAUGUGAGAAAGUGUGAAAUAGAAGUCCCUGUUUGUGUUUGCUCUCCUGUUGAUCCAGUGUGUGAAUGAAGAAAUGAGAGCAAAGGCGCUUUACGACUGACGGAGAAUCAAAGCCUCAGUACUUCACUGAACUACAGCUGCUGUUUGACUGUAAAUACAUGAGAUUCUGUUGCUGCUACACUGAGAUAUAAUGAGACUUUAAGAUGUGGGACGAGGAUGUAUCUCUUCUUUAGACUUUAUAAAGCCGAGUGUGUCAGGUAGAGACAAACACAGAGCUGAAGUAUGCUCCUAAACGUUUCUUUAUGCUGCUGAUGAAUGACGCUCUGAUGGUUAGAACGUGAUAUCAGGCUGUGCUUCAUCAUUCACAUCCACCUGCUGGAAUAAAACAUGAUCAAUGUUA